UCGCCCUUGCUGCGUUGUGGGCUGCAAGUCCAGCGAUUGGCGACAGGUGAAAAUAAGACACCGUGUGCCUUUGGAAGGCAGCAGGCGCGCCGAGUGGCUGCAGCGCAUCGGGCUCUCUGUAUCAGAUCGACGGCAGGACAUACGCGUUUGCGGUCGCCACUUUAAGCCGGAAGACUACGAGCUCAGUUCCGUGUUCAUGCAGAGAUUCGGCCUCGAUCUGAAGAGGCAUCCCCUCAAAGCCGACGCACUGCCGUCUUUGUUCCUUCCCGGUGGAAAGCAUCACACACUGCCCCAGAAAAGUGCCACAGAUCAUGGCACUGCCUUGGAACCUUCUGCCAGCCAGAGAACCACGCAGAAAACUGUGCGCAAGGCGGGCAUGAGAACAGUGGCAACUCAGACAACAGUGGAAUGCCAGUCCGUUGGUAAGUUGACCAAACAAUU
rnacentral:lncRNA from 1 species